UAAAUCUUUAGUUUGUGGGCAGAUAAAUGCAGCCAAAUAUUCCACAAAAAAGAGGGAAAAAGUGAUGAAGGAGAAUGAAAGAAUCAAAGACGGCAGCUUUCAUGGAUCUCUUAUCUGGAAACCGAUGGAGGAUUUUUGGGGACAGUGAUCAGAGUGGUGAAGUAAAUAAAUAGGGGAAGCGAUGCCAUUGACGCCCCAAUUUGACUCAUCUUCUCCGAAGCACUGUAACAAAGAACGAACCCUAUUCCAAUUCUCGGAGACGACGACGACGACGACGACGACGACGACGACAACCCUGUCUCUGUCAUUUGGGCAAUACCAAAUAUGAGUCCUAUUACGAAGAUUCACUACGGAGAUUGAGCUUUUUUAUUGCCCUCUCCCAUCUCCCCCAUCGAUUCGAUUCAUUUUCCUUUCGUUCGAGACGCAUCCAUGGCUGACGAAUCGCAACAACCCCAAUCUGAAUCUCAACCUCCUCCGCUCGAAGUCGAUUCUGCACCUCCGCCACUGCCUCCGCCUUCGUUCGAUCCCAGUCGAAUGAUUGGUAUCAUUAAACGAAAGGCCUUGAUAAAAGAACUAGCUGCUGCGUAUCAUGCUGAGUGUCUUGUAUACUGCCAAGAGCUUCUUGAGCUACAAAGAAAGUGGGACGAGCCAUAUAUUGAGUUAAAAGCACCUGAUGAUCCAAGAAAGGAAACAAUGAAACCUAGCAAACGUCAAAGGAAAUCCCGCUAGAAGGCAAUAAAGAUAUUUGAUACUGUUUUCACUCUGACUUGGGCAUCUGACGGUUCUUCCGUCUGCAAGGGAGCUGCUCAUGCACAAAAUUGGUCGUCUGAUCUAAAUGGGCUGAUACUCUAUUCAGUUGUGAAAACAGUGAAGUACAUACAAUAUUUGCGUCCUGUAUGUAUUCUUCAUUUUCUGUGUGACAAUAUGACUACUACAUACCCAAAACAGUUUAACAGAGUUUAUUUGGUUCGCAACCUUUGAAUUA